rnacentral:SRP_RNA from 1 species
GCCAGGCACAUCAGUAAGGUGCCUAUAGUCAAAGCAACUAGGAAAGCUAAGGAAGGAGAAUAGCUUGAGCUCAGGAGUUCUGGGCUGUAGCGUGUAACAGCACUAAGUUCAGCAUCAGUAUGGAGACCUUCCUGGAACUGGGGACCAAAAGGUUGCCUAAAGAGUAGUGAACUGGGUCAGGUUGGAAACUCCCAUGCUGAUUAGUAGUGGUAUCACGUAUAUGAAUAGCCACUGCACUCCAGCCUGAGCAACACAGCAAGACCCUCAUCUCU